AUUGAACGCUGGCGGCAUGCCUUACACAUGCAAGUCGAACGGCAGCACGGGAGCAAUCCUGGUGGCGAGUGGCGAACGGGUGAGUAAAGUAUCGGAACGUGCCCAGUCGUGGGGGAUAACGUAGCGAAAGUUACGCUAAUAACGCAUACGAUCUAUGGAUGAAAGCGGGGGAUCGCAAGACCUCGCGCGAUUGGAGCGGCAGAUAUCAGAUGAGGGAGUUGGUGGGGUAAAGGCUCACCAAGCCGACGAUCUGUAGCUGGUCUGAGAGGACGACCAGCCACACUGGGACUGAGACACGGCCCAGACUCCUACGGGAGGCAGCAGGGGGGAAUUUUGGACAAUGGGCGCAAGCCUGAUCCAGCCAUGCCGCGUGCAGGAUGAAGGCCUUCGGGUUGUAAACUGCUUUUGUACGGAACGAAAAGGUUUGACUUAAUACGUUGGACUCAUGACGGUACCGUAAGAAUAAGCACCGGCUAACUACGUGCCAGCCGCCGCAGUAAGAC
rnacentral:rRNA from 1 species